AUACGGAGGGGGUUAGCGUUGUUCGGAAUUACUGGGCGUAAAGCGUACGUAGGCGGAUUAGUAAGUUAGGGGUGAAAUCCCGAGGCUCAACCUCGGAACUGCCUCUAAAACUGCUAGUCUUGAGUUCGAGAGAGGUGAGUGGAAUUCCUAGUGUAGAGGUGAAAUUCGUGGAUAUUAGGAGGAACACCAGUGGCGAAGGCGGCUCACUGGCUCGAUACUGACGCUGAGGUACGAAAGUGUGGGGAGCAAACAGGAUUAGAAACCCGUGUAGUCC
rnacentral:rRNA from 1 species